rnacentral:tRNA from 1 species
ACUAUUUUGGCAGAUAAGUGCAAUGGAUUUAGAAUCUAUAAAUGUAGAUUAUAUCUAUAAAUAGUA